CUCGCGGUAGUACAAUGGAUAGUACGAGGCCCUCCUAAGGCUUAGAUACAGGUUCGAUUCCUGUCCGCGAGA
rnacentral:tRNA from 1 species